AGCAGUCGAACGGAAAGAGCCCUUCGGGGUACUCGAGUGGCGAACGGGUGAGUAACACGUGGGUGAUCUGCCCUGCACUCUGGGAUAAGCCUGGGAAACUGGGUCUAAUACCGGAUAGGACCACACACUUCAUGGUGAGUGGUGCAAAGCUUUUGCGGUGUGGGAUGAGCCCGCGGCCUAUCAGCUUGUUGGUGGGGUAAUGGCCCACCAAGGCGACGACGGGUAGCCGGCCUGAGAGGGUGACCGGCCACACUGGGACUGAGAUACGGCCCAGACUCCUACGGGAGGCAGCAGUGGGGAAUAUUGCACAAUGGGCGCAAGCCUGAUGCAGCGACGCCGCGUGAGGGAUGACGGCCUUCGGGUUGUAAACCUCUUUCAGUAGGGACGAAGCGAAAGUGACGGUACCUACAGAAGAAGGACCGGCCAACUACGUGCCAGCAGCCGCGGUAAUACGUAGGGUCCGAGCGUUGUCCGGAAUUACUGGGCGUAAAGAGCUCGUAGGUGGUUUGUCGCGUUGUUCGUGAAAACUCACAGCUUAACUGUGGGCGUGCGGGCGAUACGGGCAGACUAGAGUACUGCAGGGGAGACUGGAAUUCCUGGUGUAGCGGUGGAAUGCGCAGAUAUCAGGAGGAACACCGGUGGCGAAGGCGGGUCUCUGGGCAGUAACUGACGCUGAGGAGCGAAAGCGUGGGUAGCGAACAGGAUUAGAUACCCUGGUAGUCCACGCCGUAAACGGUGGGUACUAGGUGUGGGUUUCCUUCCUUGGGAUCCGUGCCGUAGCUAACGCAUUAAGUACCCCGCCUGGGGAGUACGGUCGCAAGACUAAAACUCAAAGGAAUUGACUGGGGCCCGCACAAGCGGCGGAGCAUGUGGAUUAAUUCGAUGCAACGCGAGAACCUUACCUGGGUUUGACAUGCACAGGACGUACCUA
rnacentral:rRNA from 1 species